CGCGUAGGCGGCCGAUCAAGUCGGAGGUGAAAUCCCUCGGCUCAACUGAGGAAUUGCCUCCGAUACUGUUCGGCUUGAGUCCUGGAGAGGGUAGUGGAAUUCCCAGUGUAGCGGUGAAAUGCGUAGAGACUGGGAAGAACACCAGUGGCGAAGGCGGCUACCUGGACAGGUACUGACGCUGAAGCGCGAAAGCUAGGGGAGCAAACA
rnacentral:rRNA from 1 species